rnacentral:lncRNA from 1 species
GUCUAAGGCUGUGUAGACAAGAAAUAUGCCAAAAUCAAGCCUUAUCUUUCACCCAAUUUCAAUAAGUAUCAACACACCAAAUGAACCUAUGAUCAAUGCACCAAAACAUGCAAAAAUAUCCAUAAUAAGACCAUUUCAAUAUACCAUAAGUCCAUUCAACCAAUAUGUCAUUUAGGCAUCUUAAUCACAACCAAGCAUUCAUACUUACAUUUGCAUCAAAAUGAUCAUGUUUCAUCCAAACAACCUUAACUAAAUUCCAUAUCAACACAUAACCUAAUUUACCAUAUUUCAACCAUGCCAAAACAUAUCACUUUGGCCAUUUAACCCAUGCAUAAUAAAAAUACCAACCAUCAAGGCAUCAAAUGCCAAAAACACACCAACCAUAUUACCAUAUUUACAAGUCAAACUUAACAACUAGUUCAUCAAACACAAGUCCACCUAUACAUGCCACUAUAACCUUGACCAAGACAUCAAAAACUACCAAUAUAAUUGCUGGAUAGUGUGAUAGAUCUCCGACAAGCUUCCUACCUGACCAAGCUUCCGAUAAUCUGUAAAGUAAAGGGAAAUAACUAUGUAAGAAAUGAAUGCUUAGUAAGCUCGUAUGAAUAUUAAACAUAACAUUUCAUCAUAUAUAUGAAAUUUAUACGACAAAUGUAAACUUUACCAAUGUCACAAGAUUUAUCAAAUUAUAAAACUAUCAACUCACACAUACUUUCUAUUCAUAACAUAAUAAUAUCUUAUUAGUUGUACUACAUAAUCAUCAAUCUUUCCUUAAAAUGAUGAAUCAUUCCACUUACUUACUUUCCGUUCCAUUUACUUAGCAUAAGUUUAAUUACAUUAUCAAUUCAUGAAUUAGUAUGAUUAUUCAUGACAUAGGUAAAUUCACCUUUAGCAUAAGUAAAUUUCUCACAUAUAGGUAAGUCAUUUUAUUCAUCAAUCCUUUUAUCUUAUCACAUUACAUUUCAAUUGUGAACUUACCAUUCUAUUACCUUUUCUCACUCGUUUCAUUGCAUAACAUAAGGCAUAAACAUAAACAUCAACCAUAACCACAAGCUUGAUACAAGCCUAAUCGUUAUCAUCAACACAAGUUAGUACAUUUAUACACAACUCUUUUGGGAUCAAGUACAUGAUAAAUCAUUUCAUAAGAAAUUACAUCUUUUCAUUUGCAUAGUACAAAGUAUAAACACAAAAAUUAACCAUAUGUGUUCCUGUCAUCCAUAAUCGCAACUGGAGAGAUUCAUUCAAUUCAAGCUUAAAUAUAUGACAAUUCCAUCAAAAUCAAUAAACAGUUACCUUACCAAGAUUUACAGUCAAAUGAAUUCAUCUAUGUUCAGAUCAAUAUUCAAUAAAUAAAAAAUCUUUCAAAUUCAUUAAACAGAUUACCUUACCGAGAUUUUCCAUUCGAAGGACGCUUACGGAUAAGAGUACAUUGUCAGAUCAAUCGAACAUUCCAGAUAGAAGCUCAUAAGAGCUAAUCCAACUAAAACACGUCAAACAGAAGCUCAUAAGAGCUGAUCCAACCGAAACACACCAAACAGAAGCUCAUAAGAGCUGAUCCAACCGAAACACGCCAAAUAGAAGCUCAUAAGAGCUUAUCUAACCAAAACACGCCAAAUAGAAGCUCAUAAGAGCUUAUCUAACCAAAACACGCCGAACAAAUAGUAUAACAUGAGAGUUUGCAACAAGUAUUGAACCUCGAUUUACUCGAGUAAUAUACAUAUAUCUCCCUCCAAUACUAUCUCUACUCCAAACCCCCAUAACACACCAAAUCAUGAUUGUACUUUAUCCAGCAUUUAAUCCAAACCGAGAAUUAAAUUCAAUAUUAUAUCUCAAAUUACCAUUAAUUAUCAACAAUUAAAAAUAAAUAUAUAAGUUGUACCAUGUUUAUAUACUUAAAAAUUCAUAUUGAUUUUAAUUUCUAACCGUACGAGCUUACCUGGCCAAAUCACAGAAAUGUCGAAGUACAUGAGCUUUUUGGUAAUUUUUCAUUCUCUUCGAUUUUCUACUCGAUCUUGAUUUAAAUUAAUAAUUUCAUUCAAUUUAUUAAUUUAGAUAGUAAAAUAAUUUAUUUUAUGCAAUUUAGUCAUUUGGAAAUUUUUAAAAAAUUGCCCCUAAUAUUUUACUUUUAUUCAGUUUAGUCCCUGAGCCUAAAACAUGCAAUUUAACCCUUUUCAUUGCAAAUUCCUAACAGCCGAAUAUUGUUAGCUUUCAUUUCAGCCUAUUUUUGCAACAAUUUCAUGCCAAGUCCUUGUAUUUUUACUAUUUCAACAAUUUAGUCCCUAAUCGAUAAAUUUAUCAAAAAUCACUAAACAAAAUACUUUUAAAUAAAAAAUAAUAUCCCGAAUUCAUCAUUUAACAUAAAAAAUCACUAGAUUCAUCAAUGGCAACAUUCAAUAUCUUUAACAGUUUCAAAAUCGAAGGUACGGGCUAGCUGGACCUAGUUACAAUUAUCCUAAAAACAUAAAAAUUACAAGAAAUAGGAUAGAUUAUACUCACAUGAAAAGGAAUAAAGCCAAAACCGAAACCUACUCCCUAGCUAUGGUGUUCGG